rnacentral:rRNA from 1 species
CCAAUAGCGUAUAUUAAAGUUGUUGCAGUUAAAAAGCUCGUAGUUGAAUUUCGGGAUCAAGGAAUCGGUCAUGCCUCGGUAUGUACUGGUUUUAUUGGUUCUCACCUUCUAAAGAACCAUAAUGUCAUUCAUUUGAUGUUAUGGGGAAUUAGGACUGUUACCUUGAAAAAAUUAGAGUGUUUAAAGAAGGCUUACGCUUGAAUACAUUAGCAUGGAAUAAUGAAAUAGGACAUCAGAUUCUAUUUUGUUGGUUUCUAGGAUCGAUGUAAUGAUUAAUAGGGAUAGUUGAGGGCAUUAGUAUUCAAUUGUAAGAGGUGAAAUUCUUGGAUUUAUUGAAGACUAACUACUGCGAAAGCAUUUGACAAGGAUGUUUUCAUUAAUCAAGAACGAAAGUUAGGGGAUCGAAGACGAUCAGAUACCGUCGUAGUCUUAACCAUAAACUAUGCCGACUAGGGAUCGGAUGAUGUUUAUUUUUUAGUGACUCAUUCGGCACCUUACG